GUUUUGUUCUUCCUUCCAGCGACUGCUCUGACAGCUUUGACGAUAUUUGACACACAGUAGCAGGCAGAAGCUGGGGAGUUGCUCCACAAACGUUGUUGCACACAUCACUCACUGAGGCCGGAGAGACAUUGGUAACAAGCACACAGUGCAGGUGAAGCUGGAGUUGGCCACAGAGCCCAGCUGAGGAAGGAACAUCAGAAGGUUUCACCCACGACUGGAUGGUGUUUGUCCAAGGGCCAGAGACUGGCGACAUCCAGCACUUUGUAGAGAAAAUUGUCUUCUGCCUUCAUGGCAGCUACCCCAGAGAGUAUGCAUGGGGCCUCCGUACAAAGUGGAGGAGACAGGCUCCGCAGGCUUCUUCAUGGAUAUCGACAUUUUCUUAAAGAACAAGGUGAAAUGGGGAGCCAAAUACGGUGUGUUUCAAAUAUGACCUGUUUCUUAACUUGGAGGGCGACCCCCCGUCAGCCACCUGCGCUAUGAGAAGCUUACCUUCAACAACCCCACCAGAGACUUCAGGAGAAAGCUGGUGAAAGCUGGAGGGGAAAUGGUGGUUCUAGAGGCCAAGGCCCAGUUCAGGUUCCCCGAUCCCUCCUCAAGACCUCUCAUGUAUCAGAGGAACCCAGCAAAGACAAAGGAGGUAGUGGUGGAGCACCAUGAAUGAUCCCUGAAAGACCAAAGUAACCUCGAAAGGGGACAAAAACAGAGGUGGAAGAGGCAGCGAGAGUUGUUUGUUUACAUCUAUAAACAGCACAUGCAGGCUGAGCCACAGCAUUUCCUAUGCAAAUAGACGUGUGCCUCCAUUCACAUGAUCUUACUUUCACAACAGUAGAAUAUCCUUUACGAAGAAAGGCCGAGGUGUUCUCUACAUGUAAAUGUUAAACAGUGACCUCCUGUGGUCUGAAGAGGGAACCAGAGUGUAAUGUUAUAUCAGAAUGAAAUCUUUAAAUAAUGACUUAUUUAUUAACCAGAUUUAACAGCUACAGUUAUGCCAUCACUUGUAUACAUAAAGCUGAAAACUAAUGGUGUUCAGUAUCAUUUCCAGAGAACUGAAGGGAUUUUUUUUCAUACUCUCUAAAAGAUGGAAAGGAGUUCUGUGAAUCUGCACUCGAUUGCUCUUCCUCAAGGACCGGAUGUGUGUCUCUGUAAAAUGAAAUUGAAUGUGGAUGUACUGUACAGCUGAUUUUUCAGUGAAGAUCAAAUUCAGUUCCAAGCCAAUUAAUUUAUUCUUCAAUUAUGGUGAUCAGAUUCAGUUUUCCUGUGCAAAGUUUAACAAUUGAAAUUCAAAGUGUGUGACUUCAAAUCAGUGUUUUAAUGUGGUUAUUCAAGUUGAGCAAUUCAAAAUCAAACAUGAAUGACUCACAUUCUGUUUCUAGUCACACAUAUUUCUGCCCAUAUGGGUUUCAAAGACUUUCCAGAUUGCUACCAAAAGUCCAAGCCCAACUGAUGGGUUUCGUGCCAAGAAAUUAAUCAAAAGCGGAAGAAAGCUAAGACAACACUCCAGCCAUCUUACAGUUACAUGUGUAUUUAUUUACAGAAAUGUCUUUUGCCCAAAUUUUGUUUGUUUAGUGUUAUAUUUAUUUGCUUUUUUAUUUAUUUCCUGCAAGUUAGUACACAAUUUCAGUAUACUGUAAUUUUUGUUAUCCUGUAAAAUGAUGAUGAAUAAGCAUCUUAAUAUAUAUAUAUAUAUAUAUAUAUAUAUCUUGAUUGGUUUAUGUUUUUAUAAAUCGUAUGUGCUGACACAUUUUAAAACACAUUUGUUACAAACUGUAAUAAAACUGUAUAUUUUAUGUGUAAAACCCGUCUGUCUCUCCCCAUAUUAUUGAAAAGGAGGAUUUAAAGGUUGAUGUCUCAAUACAAGCCUGACACCCUCCUGUCUUGACAGCCAGGUGGGACUUUCUUCUACUCAGAUUUGACUAAGAGGGAGACUGGAUCAGUUUUGAGCGGCAGGAGAAGAAGGGGGGAGGCACCGAGCCAGUGAGAGAGUGGUGACCUUCUGUCCCAGAGCUGAGGCCUGAUAAUCUGACAUCAAAGUCUGAGCACAGCAGAGAUCUGACUGCAAUGGGCCCUCACUCUCUGACUCUGGAGAAAAGAGACGUCUUCAACCAGAAGACGUACGGCUUUCUUUCUAGAUGAAAUGUUUGAAAUGGAACCAGAGGCUCUUUAAGCUCAUUAAGGCUUCCUGUGGAGUUAGGGAUAGGGAUUCAUACAUAUGUCUUUACUCAUGUGAACCCGGAGAUUUUUCUUUCAAUUGAUGUGUUACAAAUAAUGGAAUACAAAGGAAUAAGCUUCUCACGCAGGCUACCACGUGUUGCUCGCACAGAGGAGGAAAACAGCUUUUUGUUUGCUUUAACUUGUUUUACUGACACUCAAAUGUUUGCUCUUCAUCAGUGG